GGGCCCGUAGCUCAGCCUGGUUAGAGCGGCGGGCUCUUAACCCGUAGGUCGUGGGUUCGAAUCCCACCGGGCCCGCCA
rnacentral:tRNA from 1 species